rnacentral:rRNA from 1 species
CGCUGGCGGCGUGCCUAACACAUGCAAGUCGAACGAGGUCCAUCCUUCGGGAGAAGACCUAGUGGCGAACGGGUGAGUAACAAGUGAGAAACCUGCCCCGAAGACCGGGAUAACCCUCCGAAAGGAGAGCUAAUACCGGAUGCCCCACCGAGCCGCAUGGCUUGGUGAGGAAAUGGAUUCCGCUUCGGGAGGGUCUCGCGGCCUAUCAGCUAGUUGGUGGGGUAACGGCCCACCAAGGCAUCGACGGGUAGCUGGUCUGAGAGGACGAUCAGCCACACUGGGACUGAGACACGGCCCAGACUCCUACGGGAGGCAGCAGUGGGGAAUCUUGCGCAAUGGGCGAAAGCCUGACGCAGCAACGCCGCGUGGGGGAUGAAGGCUCUCGGGUUGUAAACCCCUUUCAGCAGGGACGAAAUCAGACGGUACCUGCAGAAGAAGCUCCGGCUAACUACGUG